rnacentral:lncRNA from 1 species
AUGGGCACUGCGAGGAGGUGGGAGCCCAGAGUUCAGGGCCCGUGUGGCCGCAUGUGGCGGCCCACAGAGGCUGAGCAGGGGGACCCGAGGAGGGGGAGGCCGGGCGCGGGGAGCGUCUCGCCAGCGUGGGGGCUGCCGGCCGGAGGCAGAGCUGGGUCAGGGCUGGGGACCGACUCGGCCUGUGCGCUGGGGGCCGGCAGGGGCGGUGGCAGCGCUCCUUUCACAUCCGCGAGGACGAGCGGUGAGUGCCGGAGACCUGGAGAGAAAGGAUGCGGGGCGGCGCUUGGGGAGGACAGAGGCGGGACAGCAGCCGGGGCCCACAGCCCUGCGGGGAGGAGCGGAGGCAUCCCCAGCGGGCCCGCCCCGUCGGCACCGGCCCCGAGCAGACUGCCCCCGGCCCCUCCGGCUGUCACUCAGCCCAGGCAUGCCCGGUCGGGGGGCCAUUUCCCAAAGGCCCGGCACCCGAGCCCCACUACCCGGGUGUGCCCCUCCCGCCUCUGUGAGCAGCCCGCCCGGGGGGCGCAGGGCCCGAGCGCGCCCACAGGCCUCGGGCAGAGCGGGCGGCAACGCUGCAGCCCGGCCAGGUGCGGUCUGCGGGCAGCAGGUCGCCUGGCCCCUCUGAAAGUGGCCCCCACCUCCUGGGCGGUCGUGGGGAAAGAGGGGACUUCCCUGUGCAGGGUCAGCCCGCGCAGGCAGGGGAGCCCCGGACCCGGCCGCUGCUCCUGUUCCUCGCACUUCCCUCCUCCCAGGCCGGCUGACACGUCCCUUGGGGAUCUGAAGAUGUUGACAGGUGUCACGGUCCCCAGAGAGAAAGCCUUCUUCUCGGGGGAAAAUACGGGCAGUGACUUUGGCACAGUGUGGCAGACACCACUGGUCACCCACUCAGUGCCCCCAAUAUUCCAGGCUAACAACUCGUUUUGUUCAGGUGUGGGGUGCCCCGUGUCAAGGACGGUGGGCCCCUCCCCCAUCCUAGAACAAGUCACAGAUCGCGUCAUUCCCUUUGCCGGUGAUUGGUUGGGCGGGGGCACGUGA